CGUAAAGCGCAUGCAGGUGGUUUGUUAAGUCAGAUGUGAAAGCCCGGGGCUUAACCUCGGAAUAGCAUUUGAAACUAGGCAGACUAGAGUACUGUAGAGGGGGGUAGGAAUUUCAGGUGUAGCGGUGAAAUGCGGUAGUAGAUCUGAAGGAACUACCGGUGGCGAAGGCGGCCCCCUCGGACAGAUACUGACACUCAGAUGCGAAAGCGUGGGGAGCAAACAGGAUUAGAUACCCUGGUAG
rnacentral:rRNA from 1 species